rnacentral:tRNA from 1 species
GAAAUUUUAGUUAAAUAUAUAACAUAGGCAUGUCAUUCCUAAAUUACCUAAGGUAAAUUUCU